AGGGCGCACGGUGGAUGCCUUGGCACUAGAAGCCGAUGAAGGACGUGACUAACGACGAAAUGCUUUGGGGAGCUGUAAGUGAGCAAUGAUCCAGAGAUGUCCGAAUGGGGGAACCCGGCAGGUAAUGCCUGUCACUCAUUACUGUUAAGGUAAUGUAGAGGAAGACGCAGUGAACUGAAACAUCUAAGUAGCUGUAGGAAGAGAAAGCAAAAGCGAUUGCCUUAGUAGCGGCGAGCGAAACGGCAAGAGGGCAAACCGAAGAGUUUACUCUUCGGGGUUGUAGGACUGCAACGUGGACUUAAAGAUUAUAGAAGAACUACCUGGGAAGGUAGGCCAAAGAGAGUAAUAGCCUCGUAUUCGAAAUAGUCUUUAUACCUAGCAGUAUCCUGAGUACGGCGAGACACGAGAAAUCUCGUCGGAAUCUGGGAGGACCAUCUCCCAACCCUAAAUACUCUCUAGUGACCGAUAGUGAACCAGUACCGUGAGGGAAAGGUGAAAAGCACCCCGGGAGGGGAGUGAAAUAGAACCUGAAACCGUGUGCCUACAACAAGUUCGAGCCCGUUAAUGGGUGAGAGCGUGCCUUUUGUAGAAUGAACCGGCGAGUUACGAUAUGAUGCGAGGUUAAGUUGAAGAGACGGAGCCGUAGGGAAACCGAGUCUUAAUAGGGCGCAUUAGUAUCAUGUCGUAGACCCGAAACCAUGUGACCUACCCAUGAGCAGGUUGAAGGUGAGGUAAAACUCACUGGAGGACCGAACCAGGGCACGUUGAAAAGUGCUUGGAUGACUUGUGGGUAGCGGAGAAAUUCCAAACGAACUUGGAGAUAGCUGGUUCUCUCCGAAAUAGCUUUAGGGCUAGCGUCGAUGUUAAGUCUCUUGGAGGUAGAGCACUGUUUGGGUGAGGGGUCCAUCCCGGAUUACCAAUCUCAGAUAAACUCCGAAUGCCAAUGAGAUAUAAUCGGCAGUCAGACUGCGAGUGCUAAGAUCCGUAGUCGAAAGGGAAACAGCCCAGACCACCAGCUAAGGUCCCAAAAUAUAUGUUAAGUGGAAAAGGAUGUGGGGUUGCACAGACAACUAGGAUGUUAGCUUAGAAGCAGCUAUUCAUUCAAAGAGUGCGUAAUAGCUCACUAGUCGAGUGACCCUGCGCCGAAAAUGUACCGGGGCUAAAACAUAUUACCGAAGCUGUGGAUACCUUUAUAGGUAUGGUAGGAGAGCGUUCUAUGUGCGAAGAAGGUGUACCGUGAGGAGUGCUGGAGCGCAUAGAAGUGAGAAUGCCGGUAUGAGUAGCGAAAGACAGGUGAGAAUCCUGUCCACCGUAAGACUAAGGUUUCCAGGGGAAGGCUCGUCCGCCCUGGGUUAGUCGGGACCUAAGGAGAGACCGAAAGGUGUAUCCGAUGGACAACAGGUUGAUAUUCCUGUACUAGAGUAUAUAGUGAUGGAGGGACGCAGUAGGCUAACUAAACCAGACGAUUGGAAGUGUCUGGCCAAGCAGUGAGGUGUGAUAUGAGUCAAAUGCUUAUAUCUUUAACAUUGAGCUGUGAUGGGGAGCGAAGUUUAGUAGCGAAGUUAGUGAUGUCACACUGCCGAGAAAAGCUUCUAGCGUUAAUUAUACUCUACCCGUACCGCAAACCGACACAGGUAGUCGAGGCGAGUAGCCUCAGGUGAGCGAGAGAACUCUCGUUAAGGAACUCGGCAAAAUGGCCCCGUAACUUCGGGAGAAGGGGCGCUGACUGAUGGUCAGCCGCAGUGAAUAGGCCCAAGCAACUGUUUAUCAAAAACACAGCUCUCUGCUAAAUCGUAAGAUGAUGUAUAGGGGGUGACGCCUGCCCGGUGCUGGAAGGUUAAGAGGAGUGCUUAGCGUAAGCGAAGGCAUGAAUUGAAGCCCCAGUAAACGGCGGCCGUAACUAUAACGGUCCUAAGGUAGCGAAAUUCCUUGUCGGGUAAGUUCCGACCCGCACGAAAGGCGUAAUGAUUUGGGCACUGUCUCAACGAGAGACUCGGUGAAAUUUUAGUACCUGUGAAGAUGCAGGUUACCCGCGACAGGACGGAAAGACCCCAUGGAGCUUUACUGCAGUUUGAUAUUGAGUAUCUGUACCACAUGUACAGGAUAGGUAGGAGCCUAUGACCUCGGGACGCCAGUUUCGAGUGAGGCGUUGUUGGGAUACUACCCUUGUGUUAUGGCUACUCUAACCCAGAUAGGUUAUCCCUAUCGGAGACAGUGUCUGACGGGCAGUUUGACUGGGGCGGUCGCCUCCUAAAAGGUAACGGAGGCGCCCAAAGGUUCCCUCAGAAUGGUUGGAAAUCAUUCGCAGAGUGUAAAGGUAUAAGGGAGCUUGACUGCGAGAGUUACAACUCGAGCAGGGACGAAAGUCGGGCUUAGUGAUCCGGUGGUUCCGUAUGGAAGGGCCAUCGCUCAACGGAUAAAAGCUACCCUGGGGAUAACAGGCUUAUCUCCCCCAAGAGUCCACAUCGACGGGGAGGUUUGGCACCUCGAUGUCGGCUCAUCGCAUCCUGGGGCUGUAGUCGGUCCCAAGGGUUGGGCUGUUCGCCCAUUAAAGCGGCACGCGAGCUGGGUUCAGAACGUCGUGAGACAGUUCGGUCCCUAUCCGUCGCGGGCGUAGGAAAUUUGAGAGGAUCUGCUCCUAGUACGAGAGGACCAGAGUGGACUUACCGCUGGUGUACCAGUUGUUCUGCCAAGAGCAUCGCUGGGUAGCUAUGUAGGGAAGGGAUAAACGCUGAAAGCAUCUAAGUGUGAAGCCCACCUCAAGAUGAGAUUUCCCAUGAUUUU
rnacentral:rRNA from 1 species